UCUUACCAGAAGCUGAGAUUAAGUUCUUUCCAUGACGAUUUGACCCAAUACUGUCAACGUCAAUGGAAAUUAAUGACGCCGGGACGUCAAUCUUCUCUCAACAUCGUCUUCCAGCUUAGUCUGAAUAUCUGUAUGGUUGGAAACAAGGCUGGAUUCUGACACCGAGUCACCAUACAACACCUUCCUGAGGUUUUCUCCUGAAGCCCAUUACACCGAGGACAGUUGCACUUUUGGAUGGUAUGUAGCCAACAAUCCAAGAGAGAUGGAAGGAAGUAAAAGAACAAGAAAACCAAACUGGACAGAAGAGCAGUGUUUACUUUUAGCUCAGUUAGUUGAAGAAAAUAAAGCAAUUUUAAAAGGUAAAUUUGGCUCCGGCGUCACAGCUCAAGGAAAGAGGCAGACCUGUGAGAAAAUAUCUCAGCAGAUAAACUCCUCAUUCCCUCUGGUUCUGCGCACCAGCGAGGAAUGUGAAAAGCGGUGGUACGUGUUGCAGUCUCAAGCCAGGAGGGAGAUUGCAGCACACAAACGGGAUUCUUCAAGCACAGGUGGAGGACCACCCGCUAAACAACUAUCUCAGGUAGCGGAAACUAUAUUUAAUGUACUUGGACACUCAGAAAUAUCUGUCACUAGGCUGAAAGAAGGCACAGACAGCUCAAUGAUCCAGCUAAUGGGAA